rnacentral:rRNA from 1 species
CAAAAGGGAAAGAGCCCAGAUCGUCAAUUAAGGUCCCAAAGAUAUAGCUAAGUGGGAAACGAUGUGAAAUUGCGUAAACAACCAGGAUGUUGGCUUAGAAGCAGCCAUACAUUUAAAGAGUGCGUAAUAGCUCACUGGUCGAGUGAAUUUGCGCGGAAAAUUACCGGGGCUAAGCUAUACACCGAAAUUGCGGGUUAUGAUGUAUCUAAUAAUGUGUAUCAUAAUAAGAAGAUAAAUUUUCUGUUAAAAACAUGAAAUGUUUUUAACCAAAAUGUUCAAAAGGAUAAGGUAUACAAGAAAAGGUGCAUAUUAUUAGAUACAUUGUAGCGGUAGAGGAGCAUUCUGUAGUAGGGUGAAGUAUGAUCGAAAGGACAUAUGGACGAGGCAGAAGAGAGAAUGCUGGAAUAAGUAGCGAGAGCAAAGUGAGAAUCUUUGCCGUCGAAAGUCUAAGGUUUCCUGGGGAAGGUUCGUCCGCCCAGGGUAAGUCGGGACCUAAGGUGAGGCCAAGGAGGCGUAGCCGAUGGAUAGCAGGUAUAAAAUUCCUGCACUACCGAAAUACUUAAAAACGAUAAGGGACGCAGGAGAGGAAGGAAAUCCGGGAAGAGGAAAAACCGGAGCCGAAAGGCAUAGUGAAAAUUUAAAGUAACGAAGUUCCAAGAAUCACACUGACGAGAAAAGCUUAUUGACAUUGUAUUAAGGUACCCGUACCGCAAACCGACACAGGUAGAUGAGGAGAGGAUCCUAAGACGAGCGAGAGAAGUACUGUUAAGGAACUCGGCAAACUAACCCCGUAACUUAGGGAGAAGGGGUACCUAUGUAAAAGUAGGUCGCAGAGAAGAGUCCCAAGCAACUGUUUAACAAAAACACAGGUUUCUGCUAAAUCGAAAGAUGAAGUAUAGGAGCUGACGCCUGCCCAGUGCUGGAAGGUUAAGGGGAAGAGUUAAGACUUGAUCUGAAGCUUAGAACCAAAGCCCCAGUGAACGGCGGCCGUAACUAUAACGGUCCUAAGGUAGCGAAAUUCCUUGUCAGGUAAGUUCUGACCCGCACGAAAGGCGUAAUGAUUUGGGAGCUGUCUCGACAGUAUACUCGGCGAAAUUGUAGUACUAGUGAAGAUGCUAGUUACCUGCGACAAGACAGAAAGACCCCAUGGAGCUUUACUGUAGCUUGAUAUUGGGUUUCGGUAAUUUAUGUACAGGAUAGGUGGGAGACUAUGAAGCAAGAGCGUCAGCUUUUGUGGAGUCACCCUUGGGAUACCACCCUUAAAUUAUUGGAAUUCUAACCUGUGAUCACGAACUGGUCAGGGGACAAUGUCAGGCGGGCAGUUUGACUGGGGCGGUCGCCUCCUAAAGAGUAACGGAGGCGCCCAAAGGUUUCCUCAACCCGGACAGAAAUCGGGUGAAAGAGUGCAAAGGCAGAAGGAAGCUUAACUGAAAGACAGACAUGUCGAGCAGAUACGAAAGUAGGGCUUAGUGAUCCGGUGGUAUGUGAGUGGAAAUGCCAUCGCUCAACGGACAAAAGUUACCCUGGGGAUAACAGGCUUAUCUCCCC